rnacentral:rRNA from 1 species
AGAGUUUGAUCAUGGGUCAAAUUGAACGCUGGCGGCAGGGUUAACACAUGCAAGUCGAGCGGAGAUGAGGUGCUUGCACCUUAUCUUAGCGGCGGACGGGUGAGUAAUGCUUAGGAAUCUGCCUAUUAGUGGGGGACAACAUUCCGAAAGGAAUGCUAAUACCGCAUACGUCCUACGGGAGAAAGCAGGGGAUCUUCGGACCUUGCGCUAAUAGAUGAGCCUAAGUCGGAUUAGCUAGUUGGUGGGGUAAAGGCCUACCAAGGCGACGAUCUGUAGCGGGUCUGAGAGGAUGAUCCGCCACACUGGGACUGAGACACGGCCCAGACUCCUACGGGAGGUAGC